rfam:Tupaia chinensis contig38809, whole genome shotgun sequence.
GCGCAUUCCGAAACCCUCUUGGUAGCCUGGCUCUCGCGCUUCCAGGGUAUGCGUGAAUGCGACAGCAACGCAGGGAGUCCAAGGACUGUGCUUCUGUGGCUCCGUCCCAUUUCCUACCUGCGAUAUUU